rnacentral:rRNA from 1 species
AUUGAACGCUGGCGGCAGGCCUAACACAUGCAAGUCGAACGAGUGGCGGACGGGUGAGUAAUGUCUGGGAAACUGCCCGAUGGAGGGGGAUAACUACUGGAAACGGUAGCUAAUACCGCAUACCAUCGGAUGUGCCCAGAUGGGAUUAGCUAGUAGGUGGGGUAACGGCGCACCUAGGCAACGCUCCCUCGCUGGGCUGAGAGGAUGACCAGACACACUGGAACUGAUACACGGUCCAUACUCAGACGGGAGGCAGCAGUGGGGAAUAUGACACAAUGGGCGCAAGCCUGAUGCAGCCAUGCCGCGUGUAUGAAGAAGGCCUUCGGGUUGUAAAGUACUUUCAGCGGUGAGGCGUUACCCGCAGAAGAAGCACCGGCGAACUCGGUGCCAGCAGCCGCGGUAAUUC